rnacentral:piRNA from 1 species
UGUGGCUCUGUUUCAGCAAAGGUGUC